rnacentral:rRNA from 1 species
UACGGAGGGUGCAAGCGUUAUCCGGAAUUACUGGGCGUAAAGCGCACGUAGGCGGUUAUUUAAGUCAGGGGUGAAAUCCCGGGGCUCAACCCCGGAACUGCCUUUGAUACUGGGUAUCUCGAGUCCGAGAGAGGUGAGUGGAAUUCCGAGUGUAGAGGUGAAAUUCGUAGAUAUUCGGAGGAACACCAGUGGCGAAGGCGGCUCACUGGCUCGGUACUGACGCUGAGGUGCGAAAGCGUGGGGAGCAAACAGG